AAAAAAAAACGAAAAAAC
rnacentral:sRNA from 1 species